rnacentral:lncRNA from 1 species
AACUCAUUUGGGUCCGCUUCCACGUGGUGGAGGAUUUGUGCUUUUGCUCUUCAUAAUAAAUCUUGCUCCAGGUUGCUCUUUGGGUCUGCACUACGUUUAUGAGCUGUAACACUGCAAAGGUCUGCGGCUUCACUCCUGAAGUCAGCGAGACCAAGAACCCACUGGAAGGAACCAAUUCUGGACACAUUGGUACAUACAUUGGCAGGUAGAGGGGCUACCUUGUAGGAGCUAAGGCUGGAGUACUCUGCUAUUAUUAUUAUUAUUAUUUAUUAUUAUUAUUUUGAGCUGGAGUCUCACUAUGUCACCUAGGAUGGAGUACAGUGGUGCAAUCUAGGCUCACUGCAACCUCCGUCUGCCAGGUUCAAGCGAUUCUCCUACCUCAGUCUCCUGAGUAGCUGGGCUUACAGGCGUCUGCCACCACACCUGGGUAAUUUUUCUAUUUUUAGUAGAGGGAAAUGACUUUGUUUGUAUCUCCCUUCACAAAGAGAGAUGUGAAGAGGUGUCUGUCAUCGAAAGUCACACAGUCUGAAACGCUACUGUGUCUUUUAACUCCUUUUCUUUAUAGAUUUCUCUCUGACAGCUCUUAUUUUCUCUCAAUGAUUACUUCAAUAAGUAAUCAUCGUCCAUUGACUAAAUACCAGAUACAAGCUGUGUAGCCUAGAGCAAAUUACUUAACCUCCGUUUCAUCUUUUGUAAAAUGGGGAUGUUAAUAAUAUCUGGGUCCUUGAGUUGGGAAUUAGAUGAGUUAUAUAUAAAGCACUUAGACUAGAGGCUGAAAAACAGUAAACAUGAUGUAAAUGUUUGCUGUUAUGAUGAUCCACAAGAGCACAAGACAGUCUCUACUCCUGCCUGAUUCUCACGAAUGUAAUUAUAACCUGACGAGUGCUACUACGGAAAAUUACACAGAAUGUGUGAAUUUAUAUCAGGGGGUACUAGUGGCGGGGAAAAGGUGGGGAUUAAGGAAACGUUUCCUGAGUGAACUGAGACCCGAAGGCUCAGUGAAUAACCAGGUGAGGGAUGAGUUGGAGUUUGGGCGGGGGGUGUUCUGAGCUGAGGUCACAGAGAGGCAAAGGCCUUGAGGAGGGGAAAUAUGACCAACUUGAGAAGCCCGAAGAAGAACAGCAUUUUAAUAUACAGACUCAAGUAUAAGAUGACAAGAUGCAGAAUAAACGUAGUUUCCAUUUAAAUUG